rnacentral:tRNA from 2 species
GUUUCCGUGGUGUAGUGGUUAUCACGUGCGCCUCACACGCGCAAGGUCCCUGGUUCGAUCCCGGGCGGAAACA